UACGAGGGGGGCAAGCGUUGUUCGGAAUUAUUGGGCGUAAAGAGCGUGUAGGCGGCCAGGUAGGUCCGUUGUGAAAACUGGAGGCUUAACCUCCAGACGUCGACGGAAACCGCGUGGCUAGAGUCCGGAAGAGGAGAGUGGAAUUCCUGGUGUAGCGGUGAAAUGCGCAGAUAUCAGGAAGAACACCAAUGGCGAAGGCAGCUCUCUGGGACGGUACUGACGCUGAGACGCGAAAGCGUGGGGAGCGAACAGG
rnacentral:rRNA from 1 species